UGGGGGAUAUUGCACAAUGGGCGAAAGCCUGAUGCAGCGACGCCGCGUGGGGGAUGAAGGCCUUCGGGUUGUAAACUUCUUUUGCUCUGAACAAGGCAUGCCUUUGGGGUGUGUUGAGUGUAGGGGUUGAUUAGCGCCGGCUAACUACGUGCCAGCAGCCGCGGUAAUACGUAGGGCGCGAGCGUUGUCCGGAAUUAUUGGGCGUAAAGGGCUUGUAGGUGGCUGGUUGCGUCCGUCGUGAAAGCUCAUGGCUUAACUGUGGGUUUGCGGUGGGUACGGGCUGGCUUGAGUGCAGUAGGGGAGGCUGGAAUUCCUGGUGUAGCGGUGGAAUGCGCAGAUAUCAGGAGGAAUACCGGUGGCGAAGGCGGGUCUCUGGGCUGUUACUGACGCUGAGGAGCGAAAGCGUGGGGAGCGAACAGG
rnacentral:rRNA from 1 species